CCCAGAGUCCAAAGACAGGGAACUGAGAGCAGCCCCCAGCUGACUGCCAGCAAGGAAAUCAGGACCUCGGUCCUACAACACAAAGAACUGAAUUCUGCUAACAACC